GCUUGACCUUUCCCAAAUUUCCCCACCUACCUCCCGAGCCCAAACCCCUCUAUUCGCACCUCCGUCCUCCCCGCGGUUUCUAGAUGACUCGAGAAGCGAUGCGGAAGAAGGCGAAGGCCGUGCCGGAGUGGCUGAACAGCCCGCUCUGGUCGACCCCGCCGCUCGCCUCGACCCUCGCCGACCCCUUCGGCACCGACUUCUCCCCGCCGCCUGCCCCGUCCCCCGAGCCGUCUCCUUCCGUUCCGCCGCCACCGAUGCGCGAGCAGGCGGUCGAUUCCCAUGCUGGCCGCGAGGGAGAGACACGAGAAGAGGACAGCGCCGGCGCUGCUCUCCGGGCGCACUUGCUUGCCGACUUCAAGGCCGCGCUGUCUAAGAAGGUGGUGAACAUGGGGGAGCUGCGGAGACUCGCUUGCCUUGGCGUGCCAGAUGGCGGCGGCACGGACGUACGACCGCUCGUGUGGAAGCUUCUCUUGGGGUAUUUGCCAACUGAACGCUCUUUAUGGCCUUAUGAACUAGAAAAGAAGCGAAGCCAGUACAGUGCAUAUAAAGAUGAGUUUCUUCUAAAUCCUUCAGAAAAAUUAUGUAGAAUCGAGGAAUCAAAGCUGUCAAGAAAGAAAGAAUUAACUGGUGAAAGGAAUGGCUUGCUCCCAAGGUCAGAAGUAACUAAUGAAGAGCAUCCUUUGAGCUUUGGUAAAUCUAGCUUGUGGAACCAAUACUUCCAGGAAUCAGAGAUCCUGGAGCAGAUAGACCGAGAUGUGAAGCGAACACAUCCAGACAAGUCGUUUUUUUCUGCCAAGUCUAACCAGGAAUCACUAAGGCGUAUUCUCAUUAUAUUUUCAAGAUUAUACCCUAGUGUAAGAUAUGUGCAAGGGUUGAAUGAAGUUUUGGCACCUCUAUUUUACGUAUUGAAGAACGACCUUGACACAAGUAACUCGACUUCAGCUGAAGCAGACACUUUCUUUUGCUUUGUUGAAUUGAUUAGUGGCUUUAAAAACAACUAUUGUAAACAUCUUGACAACAGCCGGGUGGGUAUUCGGGCUACACUUUCAAAGUUAUCUCAACUCUUAAAGAAACAUGACGAAGAGCUAUGGCGUCAUAUGGAGGUCAUUACAAAGGUGUACCCGCAAUACUAUGCAUUUAGAUGGAUUACAUUACUGUUGACAAUGGAGUUCAGCUUCAAUGUGUGUAUUCACAUCUGGGAUGCCAUGUUGGGCGAUCCCGAAGGUUCUCCGGACACCUUGCUGAGGAUAUGCUGUGCUAUGCUCAUCCUUGUCCGGAAGCGGCUCCUGGUUGGAGAUUUCACCGCCAAUAUCCAGCUGCUGCAGCACUACCCGCAAACUAACAUAGAUCACCUCCUCCACAUCGCUAACAGAUUGAGAGGAACCAUGCCCAGCUAGUGAUUGGGAUGCCAUCUUGUCGGUGUGGUGUUCAUCCGGGCACUACUACAUGUAUGUACAUUGACCCUGUCCAUGAGGUGUAUCAUGACAUCAUUGCCAAGUUUCAUCUUCUCUUCAUUUAUGUUCACUUUAAAUUCAAAAACUGAAAACUCCGAGUACGUACGUAUUUGAGUUUUCUGUGUGUGUUUACAGAGUUAUGUGGUGGGGGCACUAGAUUUUGUUUACUAAAUAUAAUGGCAAGAAAAAAGCACAGGAGUGGUGGGCCCUACAAGAUAUGCGCCACUAGUAACUAU
rnacentral:rRNA from 1 species